rnacentral:rRNA from 1 species
UGAAGUCGGAAUUGCUAGUAAUGGCAGGUCAGCAUACUGCCGUGAGUACGUUCCCGGGCCUUGUACACACCGCCCGUCACACCAUGAGAGUUGGAGAUACCCGAAGCCUGUGAGCUAACUUUUAGAGGCAGCAGUCGAAGGUAGAAUCAAUGGCUGGGGUGAAGUCGUAACAAGGUAAC